rnacentral:lncRNA from 1 species
CUGGGUACAAUUUUUAAUUGUUUGAAAAUUUUUUUCUUAUUUAAUUUAAUUAUUAGUUAUUUUUUAAUUAUUAGAAUUUUUUUUUUCUUAUGUGGAGGUGGGCUCCACUUGCCACGUCACUCAUCUAAUUGGUGGAUGAUAAUCUAUGUCUACGAAAUUACAAAAACACCUCUCCCAAGUCAUCAAAGCUAACAGACUUUUAGACGGAGUUGACGGUAGGGGGCAAAGUGAGUCACCAAACCUCGGUCAAGGGAUGAAAGUGGGUCAUUUUAAGUUUGGAGGGGAAAGUGAGAUUUGACCGAAGUUUCAGGGGGCACUACAGUAAAUAAGCCUAGUUUUAGCAUUGAAUUUCACUCAAAACUCACCACAAG